GCUUUGUUGCUUCUUUGGUUUGUAACGUAGAUUUGGGCUGGCUACGUGGCUUCAACUUAGCCACACACGUGACAGCAGAACAAAACAAAUUCCAUCAUUCCUCCUACAAAUUCCUGAUUCCUUCAUGCUUUCAAUCUGCGAAGCAGUGGAAAUUGAUUUCUCCUAGAAGAUUCAUUUGUUCGGUGCACCGCUCGGAUAACAAUUGCUAGCAUUCAAGCAAUAUCGCCUCUGCAACUACCAAAACUUCAGCUAAUUUCUUUGCUUGCUCAACUGCUGGAAAGAUUUCUAAUGUGUUGCUAAAGAGAGUCGGUUAGUUGGUGCACAAAGCCAAGUCUAUAUAUAUAUAUAGAGAGAGAGAGAGAGAUAUGUGUGUAUACUCUUUGUUCUGUUUCGCUUCUUGUCUUGGUUCAACUUCUUUGUUUCUCGGUUCAUAGAUUACUGCCCCAAAUCCACAAUCUGCGAGACAUACUGUCUGGUCCUUUGGGAUCAGGUGUAAAGAGAAGAUUGCUUGCUAUGUCAUAGUUAGAGGUAAGAAGGCAAUGCAACUUCUGGAGAGUGGAUUGAAGGUAAAGGAAUAUAAGUUGCUGUGAAGGAACUUCGGUGAAACUGGCUAUUUUGGCUUUGGUAUUCAGGAGCACAUUGAUCUCAGAAUUAAGUGAUGGACUUGGUUAUAAAAAGCCAUGAAGAGGAGAAAGGAGUUCAGGGAGGAGCAGAGCUUGCAGGAAAGCUCCAGCUCCAAGUGAGAGUGUGUAUUUUUUUUUUUUUUUUGUAAAUAUUAGAAUGAGUGUUAGGAAAUAAUUUCAUUUUUUAGGGUAGAGAUGAAACUCUGACUAAAUAAUUAGGGUGAGUUGCUGUUGGCUUAUUUUUUUUACGAAGGAAAAUAUCAUAUGCGAGCGUGUCAGUAAGAAUUGAAAAAUCCUUACAGAUUAAAUUCAAGCCAAUUAUCAAGCGAUUGUGUUGA